rnacentral:rRNA from 1 species
GGCUUAGAGUUUGAUCAUGGCUCAGGAUGAACGCUAGCUACAGGCUUAACACAUGCAAGUCGAGGGGCAUCAGGAAGAAAGCUUGCUUUCUUUGCUGGCGACCGGCGCACGGGUGAGUAACACGUAUCCAACCUGCCCUUUACUCGGGGAUAGCCUUUCGAAAGAAAGAUUAAUACCCGAUAGUAUAAUGAUUCCGCAUGGUUUCAUUAUUAAAGGAUUCCGGUAAAGGAUGGGGAUGCGUUCCAUUAGGUUGUUGGUGAGGUAACGGCCCACCAAGCCUUCGAUGGAUAGGGGUUCUGAGAGGAAGGUCCCCCACAUUGGAACUGAGACACGGUCCAAACUCCUACGGGAGGCAGCAGUGAGGAAUAUUGGUCAAUGGGCGUUAGCCUGAACCAGCCAAGUAGCGUGAAGGAUGAAGGCUCUAUGGGUCGUAAACUUCUUUUAUAUAAGAAUAAAGUGCAGUAUGUAUACUGUUUUGUAUGUAUUAUAUGAAUAAGGAUCGGCUAACUCCGUGCCAGCAGCCGCGGUAAUACGGAGGAUCCGAGCGUUAUCCGGAUUUAUUGGGUUUAAAGGGAGCGUAGGUGGACUGGUAAGUCAGUUGUGAAAGUUUGCGGCUCAACCGUAAAAUUGCAGUUGAUACUGUCAGUCUUGAGUACAGUAGAGGUGGGCGGAAUUCGUGGUGUAGCGGUGAAAUGCUUAGAUAUCACGAAGAACUCCGAUUGCGAAGGCAGCUCACUGGACUGCAACUGACACUGAUGCUCGAAAGUGUGGGUAUCAAACAGGAUUAGAUACCCUGGUAGUCCACACAGUAAACGAUGAAUACUCGCUGUUUGCGAUAUACAGUAAGCGGCCAAGCGAAAGCAUUAAGUAUUC